GACGAACGCUGGCGGCGUGCUUAACACAUGCAAGUCGAACGGAAAGGCCCUGCUUGCAGGGUGCUCGAGUGGCGAACGGGUGAGUAACACGUGGGUGAUCUGCCCCUUACUUUGGGAUAAGCCUGGUAAACUGGGUCUAAUACUGGAUAGGACCAUGCUAUAGGUGGUGUGGUGGAAAGAUUAGUUUCGGUAAGGGAUGAGCUCGCGGCCUAUCAGCUUGUUGGUGGGGUAAUGGCCUACCAAGGCGUCGACGGGUAGCCGGCCUGAGAGGGUGGACGGCCACAUUGGGACUGAGAUACGGCCCAGACUCCUACGGGAGGCAGCAGUGGGGAAUAUUGCACAAUGGGCGCAAGCCUGAUGCAGCGACGCCGCGUGGGGGAUGACGGCCUUCGGGUUGUAAACUCCUUUCAGCCAUGACGAAGCCCUUGUGGUGACGGUAGUGGUAGAAGAAGCACCGGCUAACUACGUG
rnacentral:rRNA from 1 species